AUGGGAACGCGAAGAACCUUACCUAGACUUGACAUCUCCUGAAUUACCCUUAAUCGGGGAAGUCGGUACCUUUGGUAUCGACAGGAAGACAGGUGGUGCAUGGUUGUCGUCAGCUCGUGUCGUGAGAUGUUGGGUUAAGUCCCGCAACGAGCGCAACCCUUAUUGUUAGUUGCUACCAUUUAGUUGAGCACUCUAGCGAGACUGCCCGGGUUAACCGGGAGGAAGGUGGGGAUGACGUCAAAUCAUCAUGCCCCUUAUGUCUAGGGCUACACACGUGCUACAAUGGCAAGUACAAAGAGACGCAAGACCGUGAGGUGGAGCAAAUCUCAAAAACUUGUCCCAGUUCGGAUUGUAGGCUGAAACUCGCCUACAUGAAGCCGGAGUUGCUAGUAAUCGCGAAUCAGCAUGUCGCGGUGAAUACGUUCCCGGGUCUUGUACACACCG
rnacentral:rRNA from 1 species